UACGUAGGGUGCAAGCGUUGUCCGGAAUUAUUGGGCGUAAAGAGCUCGUAGGCGGCCUGUCGCGUCUGCUGUGAAAUCCCGGGGCUUAACCCCGGGCCUGCAGUGGAUACGGGCUGGCUAGAGGCAGGCAGGGGAGAACGGAAUUCCUGGUGUAGCGGUGAAAAUGCGCAGAUAUCAGGAGGAACACCGGUGGCGAAGGCGGGUCUCUGGGCCGAUACUGACACUGAGGAGCGAAAGCGUGGGGAGCGAACAGG
rnacentral:rRNA from 1 species